AAGCAUACCCUGAUGCCAAAAACCAACCUCAUGUUCAGGUGGCCCUCAGAAUGAAGCAAAGUGGUUAUUCUACUGGAUGCUCGGCUGGUGAUACUAUUCCAUAUAUAAUUUGUUGUGAACAGGGGUCUAGUUCAAGCAAUUCAACGGGGAUAGCAUACCGAGCUAGUCAUCCUGAUGAGUUGAAAAAAGAUGAGGGA